rnacentral:rRNA from 1 species
GAUGAACGCUGGCGGCGUGCCUAAUACAUGCAAGUCGAGCGAACGGACGAGAAGCUUGCUUUUCUGAUGUUAGCGGCGGACGGGUGGGUAACACGUGGAUAACCUACCUAUAAGACUGGGAUAACUUCGGGAAACCGGAGCUAAUACCGGAUAAUAUUUUGAACCGCAUGGUUCAAAAGUGAAAGACGGUCUUGCUGUCACUUAUAGAUGGAUCCGCGCUGCAUUAGCUAGUUGGUAAGGUAACGGCUUACCAAGGCAACGAUGCAUAGCCGACCUGAGAGGGUGAUCGGCCACACUGGAACUGAGACACGGUCCAGACUCCUACGGGAGGCAGCAGCAGGGAAUCUUCCGCAAUGGGCGAAAGCCUGACGGAGCAACGCCGCGUGAGUGAUGAAGGUCUUCGGAUCGUAAAACUCUGUUAUUAGGGAAGAACAUAUGUGUAAGUAACUGUGCACAUCUUGACGGUACCUAAUCAGAAAGCCACGGCUAACUACGUG